UGAGGAGCGAAAGCGUGGGGAGCGAACAGGAUUAGAUACCCUGGUAGUCCACGCCGUAAACGAUGAGUGCUAAGUGUUAGGGGGUUUCCGCCCCUUAGUGCUGCAGCUAACGCAUUAAGCACUCCGCCUGGGGAGUACGGUCGCAAGACUGAAACUCAAAGGAAUUGACGGGGGCCCGCACAAGCGGUGGAGCAUGUGGUUUAAUUCGAAGCAACGCGAAGAACCUUACCAGGUCUUGACAUCCUCUGACAACCCUAGAGAUAGGGCUUUCCCUUCGGGGACAGAGUGACAGGUGGUGCAUGGUUGUCGUCAGCUCGUGUCGUGAGAUGUUGGGUUAAGUCCCGCAACGAGCGCAACCCUUGAUCUUAGUUGCCAGCAUUCAGUUGGGCACUCUAAGGUGACUGCCGGUGACAAACCGGAGGAAGGUGGGGAUGACGUCAAAUCAUCAUGCCCCUUAUGACCUGGGCUACACACGUGCUACAAUGGACAGAACAAAGGGCUGCGAGACCGCAAGGUUUAGCCAAUCCCACAAAUCUGUUCUCAGUUCGGAUCGCAGUCUGCAACUCGACUGCG
rnacentral:rRNA from 2 species